UACGUAGGGUGCGAGCGUUAAUCGGAAUUACUGGGCGUAAAGCGUGCGCAGGCGGUUUUGUAAGCCAGAUGUGAAAGCCCCGGGCUCAACCUGGGAAUGGCGAUGGAUACUGGCUCGCUAGAGUGCGGUAGAGGAGAGUGGAAUUCCCGGUGUAGCAGUGAAAUGCGUAGAGAUCGGGAGGAACAUCAGUUGCGAAGGCGGCUCUCUGGACCAGCACUGACACUGAGGCACGAAGGUCAGGGGAGCAAACGGG
rnacentral:rRNA from 1 species